rnacentral:rRNA from 1 species
UACGUAGGGUGCAAGCGUUAAUCGGAUUUACUGGGCGUAAAGGGCGCGUAGGCGGUCAGCACAAGUCAGUUGUGAAAUCUCCGGGCUUAACUCGGAAAGGUCAACUGAUACUGUGCGACUAGAGUGCGGAAGGGGCAACUGGAAUUCUCGGUGUAGCGGUGAAAUGCGUAGAUAUCGAGAGGAACACCUGCGGCGAAGGCGGGUUGCUGGGCCGACACUGACGCUGAUGCGCGAAAGCCAGGGGAGCGAACGGG